rnacentral:rRNA from 1 species
AGCGUAUAUUAAAGUUGUUGCAGUUAAAAAGCUCGCAGUUGAAUUUCGGGAUUAAUAUGUUGGUCGUGCCUUGGUACGUACUGGCAUUAUUGAUUCCUACCUUCUGAAGAACCUCGAUGUCAUUAAUUUGGUGUCUUGGGGAAUCAGGACCGUUACUUUGAAAAAAUUAGAGUGUUUAAAGCAGGCUCGCGCUUGAAUACAUUAGCAUGGAAUAAUGAAAUAGGACGUUUGAUUCUAUUUUGUUGGUUUCUAGGAUCGACGUAAUGAUUAAUAGGGAUAGUUGGGGGCAUUAGUAUUCAAUUGUCAGAGGUGAAAUUCUCGGAUUUAUUGAAGACUGACUACUGCGAAAGCAUUUGCCAAGGAUGUUUUCAUUAAUCAAGAACGAAAGUUAGGGGAUCGAAGACGAUCAGAUACCGUCGUAGUCUUAACCAUAAACUAUGCCGACUAGGGAUCGGAUGAUGUUAAUUUUUUAAUGACUC